AAAGGCAUCACCAAAACACGUACUGAUUUUGAGGGAAGAGAUACCAGAGGAGUCAUCCUGUUAGGUGCUAAGGGUGCGCGCUGCAGGGCGGUCCAGGAAACACACAGUAAAAAUGCCAUGGGCCCUCCGGCCCCACCCCACACAGCUCUCCAGGAGAUUCCAGCACUCGGAACACACAGAGAAACAUCGGAAGAUCUCCCAGGGAGAUGUCUAGAUUAGAUUUGAAGGAAGCACAGGAUUUACAGGAUACAGCCCAGUUUAGGCUUGGUGCAUACAGGAACUGAAAGACCUUGAGCCCAUUGGAGAUCUGAGGUUUCACCUAAAUGUGGCAGUCACCUUCCCAUUCGCUGUGCCUUUCAGGGACCUUGGACUUGAUAAACGUUCUAGACAAUGCUCCGUGUCAAAGGCUGGUGGUACUUGAAAUUUUUUUUCCAAACCAAUUGUGCUGAAUGUUCUGAAGAGACAACACUUGUCUGUUUCAGACCAGGUGGGAGGUUAAAACCAUAACGUAGAGGCUGAAAAUACAGACCCCAGGAUCAGACAAACUAGCAUUUGCCUCUAAGAUCCUCUAGCUGUGUGACUUUGGCAUCCAGCAUAUGGACGGCUGCCCUACUGUUACCCCUCCCCGAGGCCACCCCUCCUCCAGCCGGGAUUGCCCUGCUCCGAGCCCCUUCUCCCAGGCUGCUGUGCCACAGCACCCGCUUUGGAAAGGUUCUCGAGCCCAGGGCAGGGUGAUGCCCCCGUGCGGGCCUGCCCAGGCAGCCCCACCGGCCGGGCGCAGGAAGGAGCCUGCAGAAGCUGUCUGCUGCGGGUCGGAUCGUGGGGACGCUCUGCUCUGGGGAGGCUGCAAGGGUCCCGAGCCCCAGGCCUCCCUCCACUCCUCAGCCUCCCACCUCAGCAACCAGAUAACACCCAGACAGAUGCAAGGCUGCAGUGUGAUUCCCAAGCCAGGAGACUGAGGGUCUGAAGUCCCGGCUUCUGCUGGGCCAUGGGAAGCUUCUUGAAUGGAAAUCCCGGAGCCAGCCCCGAUAGGCACAGAGCAACGGGGAAAUGGCUCGGCCUGCCCACAUUUUUCUAGCCUGCGCCUCACGCCCCGCCUGAGCCGCAAGCAGACCGAUCUUUCUUUUUUUUUAAUUGUGGUAAAAUACACGUAACAUAAAAUUUACUACUUGAACCAUUUUUACGUAUCCGAUUCAGUGGCAUUAAGUACAUUCAUAGUAUCGAACAACCCUCACUGCCAUCCACGUCCAGAACAUUUCCAUCCUCCCAAACUGAAACUCUGUACCCAUUAAACACUAACUGCCCAUUCCCCUCUCCCCUGACCUACCCUCCCCCUCCCCCCCCAUUCUCUGUUCUGCUUGUGAAUUCGCCUAUUCUAGGUACUUCAUGGAAGUGGAAUCACAUAGUUGUCCUUUGGUGUCUGGCUCUUUCGCUUAGUAUCACAUCUUCACGGUUCAUCCAUGUUGCAGCAGGUAUCAGAAUUUCCUUCCUUUUUAAGGCUGAAUAAUAUUCCAAUGUAAGGAUAUAUUACAUUAAAAAAAAUCUUUUUUUAACGUUUAUUUAUUUUUGAGACACAGAGAGACAGAGCAUGAACAGGGGAGGGGCAGAGAGAGAGGGAGACACAGAAUCUGAAACAGGCUCCAGGCUCUGAGCUGUCAGCACAGAGCCCCACGCGGGGCUCGAACUCACGGACCACGAGAUCGUGACCUGAGCCGAGGUCGGACGCUUAACCGACCCAGGCGCCCCUCCUAUUGCACUUUAUUUAUCCAUUCUUCUGUAGCUGGACCCUUGGGUUGCUUCUGCCUUUUGGAUCUUGUGAACAAUGCCGCUAUGAAUGUGGCUUGCAAGUAUCUGGUCAAUUCUCUGCUUUCAGUUCUUUAAUGUAUAUAACCAGAGGUAGAAUUACUAGAUCAUAUGGACCAGACGGAUCUUUUAAACAUGCAAGUUAAACCAUUUUGU
rnacentral:lncRNA from 1 species